rnacentral:rRNA from 1 species
GAAGAACCUUACCAAGGCUUGACAUAUACGAGAACGGGCCAGAAAUGGUCAACUCUUUGGACACUCGUAAACAGGUGGUGCAUGGUUGUCGUCAGCUCGUGUCGUGAGAUGUUGGGUUAAGUCCCGCAACGAGCGCAACCCUCGUUCUAUGUUGCCAGCACGUAAUGGUGGGAACUCAUGGGAUACUGCCGGGGUCAACUCGGAGGAAGGUGGGGAUGACGUCAAAUCAUCAUGCCCCUUAUGUCUUGGGCUUCACGCAUGCUACAAUGGCCGGUACAAUGGGCAGCGAUACCGUGAGGUGGAGCGAAUCCCAAAAAGCCGGUCCCAGUUCGGAUUGAGGU